ensembl:lncRNA
GCAGGAGGAUCAUUUGAGCCCAGGAGUUCGAGGCUGCAGUGAGCUAUGAUUGCAUGACUGCACUCCAACCUGUGCAAUAGAGUGAGACCCUGUCUUAAAAAAAAAAAGAAAAAAGAAAAUUUGGAAAAUUGGCAGCCAACAAAAGAAAACAUGCUUACUUCUCACUCUAUUAGAAACAGCUAUAAGUGAACUCAUUAAAAUCCAACCAAACUGAAAUAAAAUAAUAGAGGCAAAGUUAUUUUAAUUUCCUGAACUGGGAAAUUUACCUUUUCCAGCAAGACAGAAGAUUGAUGAGAAAAAGAUUAUACAUCUAUCCGGACUUAUCUGGCACAGUUCUUUAAGCAUUUGAAGAUGAUAGUGAUAGGAAGAAUAAGAAACUAAAGUAGCUGUUUUAUUGUGAUGUGAAUAAAAAUAUUGCCAUCAAAGCUUACUCAGUAAUGUUUUGAGUUUAGAUACAUUAUAAAGUCAAUCAGGAAAAGCAUUUUACAGUAUAAAUACCUUAUAGAAUUAAUAAAGAAAGCCCUGUAUAAUUUAAAAACAAAAUCAUAAGGAAUCCCUGAACUUAAGUUUACAGACAGGCUGUAACAGAUUGCAUGAUGUGUACACGUCUGUAUGAUUGGGUAGGAUAGACUUUGCACAGAUGGCCUGAGCCCUGGUGGGACUGACUUAGCCAGGAGGAAGGAGGGCUGUUUUCCAAUUUAUUUUCUUAGAGGAAAUAACUUUUUAUAAUCCAUCCCAUCAAAGGGGACGCUUUUUCAUAUUUCAUUAAAAGUCUUGCACUAAGUUGGUAGCAUAAAUGUUAAUAAAGACCAAGAAGAGUCCUGGGAUAGCUGUAGUAGAACAUUGGUCUAGAAAUAUGUAGGCGCAAGUUUAAGUCCUUCCUGGGUCACUAACCAUGAAUGUGGUCUUAGCAUCUCUUAGUCUCAUUUCCUCAUUUGCAAAAUUACUUGGAUUACCUCACAAUGUUGCUGUGAGCAUUAAAUAUGAUAAUAUAUUUAAAAGUGCUUUGCAAACUCAUAAAGUACCAUUCAGUGUUCAUUUAGUGAACAUACAUUGAGCACUUACUAUGUGCCAGGUACUUUGUUAAGCUUUGCAGAUACAGAGCUGCAAGAGACAUAGUCCUUUAGUCCUUGCCCUUGGAAAGCUCUGUGGGGAUGCAGAUGAAGCCAUAGAUUAUAAUACAUUGCAAUCUUUAAUGUGAAAGAUGCUAUGGACUUAUAGAGGAUGGAGAGGCCCAAGAUCCUCUUUUUUGUUGUUGUUGAUGUUGCCUGGGCUGUAGUGCAGUGGCAUGAUCUUGGCUCACUGCAACCUCCACUCUCCAGGGGUUCAAGCAAUUCUCCUGCCUCAGCCUCCUGAGUAACUUGGAUUAUAGGCACCCACCACCACGCCCGGCUAAUUUUUUUGUUUGUUUUUAGUAGAGACAGGGUUUUGUGAUGUUGGCCAGGCUGAUCUCGAACUCUUCAUCUCAAGAGAUCCACCUGCCUCAGCCUCCCAAAGUGCUGCGAUUACAGGUAUGAGCCACCGUGUCUGGCCGAGAGGCCCUCUCUAUGUAAGACCCCCAGACCUCCAAUGCUACUUACCAGAAAUUUAUACAGUUAGAUGACUUCAGAUCUAUAGUACUACAUGUAUCUGGAUAGGAAAAUAAAAGACACCAGUACAGAGCUACCUCUGCCACAAAGUUACCUUCUUGCAAAUCAGAAAGAGAAAUCUCUUCUAGACAGAUAAGUUGCAAAACAUGGCUCUUCCGCAAAGACUAGUCAGAAGAAGGCAUCCCUUUUGGUGGGUCAGGGCAUAGGAGGACCAGAUUGGAGUCAUCUCUUAUAUACAGGGGCCACUGUAUCAGGCACAACCUCAGCCAGUAAACAUGGUGGCUUGGCAGUAUAAAAUACUGCAGGAUACAGCAUGCACACAUAUAUGUGCAUGCAAUUUAGGGGGAGGAAUUAAUUCUGUGAACUUGGCCUAUGUAAACAGACUGAUAUACUCCUGGAAGGGAUGGGAGUUUGCAAAAACUAAGAACUACAUGCCAGCUUUACCAUGUGAACAAAAGAGGAUUUUGUAGAGGGGUAUGAGAGCCCACCAGGAACACAGAAAAUUCUGGGGACUUAGAACAGAGGAAGUUUAAUGCAGGAAUUGGUCACCAAGGUGAUGGGAUUGCUAAGAAGUCAAAUAGGAGAUGCUGAGUCAACCUAGACCCUGGCAAUGGCAGGAAGCUAAUGUCACUCUUAGGUGGGGGUGACAGAGAGAGGAGUCAGUUAUGCUGGAGUCCAGAGGCCAGGACCACUCUAUGGAAAAUGAGGCCUGGGUGGUGUGAGCUGACACUGCAGAGAGACAGAGCCACUGCUGGAGAUGCUGGUGAAGGCAGAGAAGGAGGGGGAGACACCCACUAGCCUCUCCUUUACUUCUUCAGUGUCACUAGGUACUUCUCCUGGCUGAUCCCAGAUCCUCCAACUGCAAGGAACCUUGGAAAUGCAGCUCGCAUGGCUCAGCACUCUGCUACCCAAAGCAGGCCGGGGAAGUGGGUGGAAAGACAUCUGAGGGCUCCAGGUUGGUACAGAGAGUGGGAAGAAAAUACGAGACUGAACGGAGUAACCACAGAAUGAUACGAAGUUCUUUUUAAUAAAGCUGUAUAAAAAGAAGCAACAUAGGCCCAGCGUGGUGGCUCAUGUCUGUAAUCCCAGCACUUUGGGAGGUCAAGGUGGGUGGAUUACUUGAAGUCAAGAGUUUGAGACCAGCCUGGCUAACAUGGUGAAACCCCAUCUCUACUAAAAAUACAAAAGUUAGCUGAGCAUGGUGGCAUGCGCCUGUAAUCCCAGCUGUAUGGGAGGCUGAGGCAUGAGAAUCGCUUGAACCCAAAAGGUUGCAGUGAGCUGAGAUCGUGCCAUUACACUCCAGCCUGGUGACAGAGAGAUACUCUAAAAAAAAAAAAAAAAA